AGGUUCCUGAGCCCGAGCGGGCCCGCCAGCAGUCGGCCCCGGCGGCGCAGAGGCUCCUGUCGGCGGCGCCCUGGAGCGGCCCGGCCUCCCGAUGCUCCUGCGCCGGCUGCCGCGGGCCGGGCUGUGCGCGUAGAGCCGGCUCUGGCCCCGUGAGGCGUCCGCGGGGGCGGGAGCGGCCUCGGCCCCGCGGAGACCGAGCGGCUGGAGGACGAGGCGGCGGCCGCGGGGAGGAGGAUGGGGGCUAACCAGUUAGUGGUGCUCAACGUGUACGACAUGUACUGGAUGAACGAGUACACCUCAUCCAUCGGAAUUGGAGUGUUUCAUUCAGGAAUUGAAGUAUAUGGCAGAGAAUUUGCUUAUGGUGGCCAUCCUUACCCUUUUUCUGGAAUAUUUGAGAUUUCCCCAGGAAAUGCUUCAGAACUAGGAGAAACAUUUAAAUUUAAAGAAGCUGUUGUUUUAGGAAGCACCGACUUCCUAGAAGAUGAUGUAGAAAAAAUCAUAGAAGAACUGGGGAAAGAAUACAAAGGCAAUGCCUAUCAUUUAAUGCACAAAAACUGCAAUCACUUUUCUUCAGCAUUAUCAGAGAUUCUUUGUGGGAAAGAGAUUCCUCGCUGGAUCAAUCGACUUGCCUACUUCAGCUCCUGCAUCCCCUUCCUGCAGAGCUGCCUGCCGAAGGAGUGGCUCACCCCUGCAGCCCUGCAGUCCAGCGUGAGCCAGGAGCUCCAGGAGGAGCUGGAGGAGGCGGAGGACGCGGUCGCGUCGGCUGCCAUGGCCAGCACCGCCGCAGGCUCCCGGCCUGGGCGCCACACUAAACUAUAAAUGUCUCCAAAGUCACACAUUCAGAACUGUCUGUGGCAGUUGAAUAUCACUAGCGAAAAGUAAAAGAGAAGCCUUUGCGAGUGCCCUCAGUGCUGCGGGGCAGAGCACUGGUUCUGAGAUGCGGCGGGAGGAAGAAAGGUCUGAUGUGAGACGAGAAGAAAACACUAAGAGUUGAGCCGUGGAUUUGUUCACUCAGACGGGUCCUACCACCAGAACCCAGGUUAGGGAGGAGUAUGUGAUGCAGUUUGCUUCGGACUGUUUUUAAUAUGUGCUAGAUUACAGUUUUUCUCAUUCACUGAGAUAUCCGUGGUUUGAAUCCGCUGUGACACCCGUGGAGGAGUGGCCACGCACUAGAGCCCGCUUGGUGAAAAGCGGGGUCAUCCCGUCCCUGCUCGUCCAGAACCCAGCACCUUGCGCACACGUGACUUCAGCGUUAUUCUGUUGUAUUUACUCUCAUCUGCAGCACUCUGAGUUUUUAAAUAGUGUAAAGGGACCUAGUUUCAGAACUACAUCAUGGCCCAAGGCCAGUUAUAGUAACAAUCAGCAGAUAAAAUUCUGGACGUGAGAUUGAUUACAAUCUAAUCGUACUCAAGGUUGAGAAAUAAAUAUCUUUAUUUUGGGAAAUCUUGUGCAAGUCAGUUUCUUCUCCACAGCUCAGAAUUUAGAAUGGAUUUAAUUAAUUAGCACUUGACCAGCCUUUCCUUGCCCUUGGAGGAAAAGAAUCUUGCUGUCAACCUGAUCUCUGUUAGGAAAACUCCAGACAUUGAGAUACAUGCAAUACGAUGGAGUCAGAUUAUUUUCUUUGUAGUUGUAACCAAGUGAAGCAUAUUUGUCGUGGUGGGUUGGACAGUAAUUUAGUGUUAGAGGGUUAGAAGCUGCUGGGUUCUACUGUUUUAAAUGCUCCUGGUGUUUUCAACCCUACGAAGGGGACGCGAGCAUUGGGGAGGGGCCUGUGGAGCCUGGAGGGCGCGGCGGUUGUAGCCUCCAGGUGCCUGAACCCGCCGACCCGCGCUGGCCCAGCAGCGCGUCACCUUCACCAGCACUUGUACAGAGCAGGCGGCUGGGUCCAGCCAGUGGCCGCGUCGCGCCGGCGGCUCCGCGCGGAGACCCAGGGCUGCUUUCCACCGCGAAACGGGUAGAAGCACAUCCACUGCUUCAGGGUUCUGACCGUGUCUUACGGCUCCGUCUCUGUAAGACACUGUGAUCUGAUACAUGCUCUGUUUUCUUUCAGUGGUUAAGUUCAAAAGACUUGGGUUUUGUUCAGCACGCUGGCAUGCUGCCAUUGUACCCUCCGGUGUGGUGUUAGAGGGCGGCUCCGUCCUGGACUGCGCGUCCCUGUCUGUCCUCAUACCACAUCUGCGCUGUUCGAAAGGUGUUACAGCUGUUACUCCUCAUGAACCGAAGAUAAUCUCGUGAAGUUGAAUGCAAACGUACUGUCAUUCAUAGUGUUUAUAUAAAAAUACCAGGAAUCUUCACUUUUGCUACCUUGAUAUAGCAUUGGGCUAUCAUGUUAACAACA